AGUGAACGCUGGCGGUAGGCCCAACACAUGCAAGUCGAACGGCAGCACAGUAAGAGCUUGCUCUUACGGGUGGCGAGUGGCGGACGGGUGAGGAAUACAUCGGAAUCUACUUUUUCGUGGGGGAUAACGUAGGGAAACUUACGCUAAUACCGCAUACGACCUACGGGUGAAAGCAGGGGAUCUUCGGACCUUGCGCGAUUGAAUGAGCCGAUGUCGGAUUGGCUAGUUGGCGGGGUAAAGGCCCACCAAGGCGACGAUCCGUAGCUGGUCUGAGAGGAUGAUCAGCCACACUGGAACUGAGACACGGUCCAGACUCCUACGGGAGGCAGCAGUGGGGAAUAUUGGACAAUGGGCGCAAGCCUGAUCCAGCCAUACCGCGUGGGUGAAGAAGGCCUUCGGGUUGUAAAGCCCCUUUGUUGGGAAAGAAAAGCAGCAGGUUAAUACCCCGCUGUUCUGACGGUACCCAAAGAAUAAGCACCGGCUAACUUCGUG
rnacentral:rRNA from 1 species